rnacentral:rRNA from 1 species
AGGAACGUUGAAGACGACGACGUUGAUAGGCCGGGUGUGUAAGCGCAGCGAUGCGUUGAGCUAACCGGUACUAAUGAAUCGUGAGGCUUAACCUUACAACGCCGAAG